UGAGUUGCGAACGGGUGAGUAACGCGUAGGUAACCUGCCUGGUAGCGGGGGAUAACUAUUGGAAACGAUAGCUAAUACCGCAUAAGAACAUUUACUGCAUGGUAGAUGUUUAAAAGGUGCAAGAGCAUCACUACCAGAUGGACCUGCGUUGUAUUAGCUAGUUGGUGAGGUAACGGCUCACCAAGGCAACGAUACAUAGCCGACCUGAGAGGGUGAUCGGCCACACUGGGACUGAGACACGGCCCAGACUCCUACGGGAGGCAGCAGUAGGGAAUCUUCGGCAAUGGGGGGAACCCUGACCGAGCAACGCCGCGUGAGUGAAGAAGGUUUUCGGAUCGUAAAGCUCUGUUGUUAAGGAAGAACGUGUGUGAGAGUGGAAAGUUCACACAGUGACGGUACUUAACCAGAAAGGGACGGCUAACUACGUGCCAGCAGCCGCGGUAAUACGUAGGUCCCGAGCGUUGUCCGGAUUUAUUGGGCGUAAAGCGAGCGCAGGCGGUUAGAUAAGUCUGAAGUGAAAGGCAGUGGCUCAACCAUUGUAGGCUUUGGAAACUGUUUAACUUGAGUGCAGAAGGGGAGAGUGGAAUUCCAUGUGUAGCGGUGAAAUGCGUAGAUAUAUGGAGGAACACCGGUGGCGAAAGCGGCUCUCUGGUCUGUAACUGACGCUGA
rnacentral:rRNA from 1 species